rnacentral:rRNA from 1 species
UACGGAGGGAGCUAGCGUUGUUCGGAAUUACUGGGCGUAAAGCGCACGUAGGCGGAUUGUUAAGUCAGGGGUGAAAUCCUGGAGCUCAACUCCAGAACUGCCUUUGAUACUGGCAAUCUUGAGUCCGGAAGAGGUGAGUGGAACUCCUAGUGUAGAGGUGGAAUUCGUAGAUAUUAGGAAGAACACCAGUGGCGAAGGCGGCUCACUGGUCCGGUACUGACGCUGAGGUGCGAAAGCGUGGGGAGCAAACAGG